rnacentral:rRNA from 1 species
UGCUGGAAUGCUUGUAGGUCUAAAAUUUCGGUGCCCAAGGAUUGGUCUGCGGCGUAUCAGGUUGUAGUGGGUGUAAUGGACCCACUAGCCAGUGACGCGUAAGGGCCUUGAGAGAGGGAGUUCUGAGAUGGACUCUGAGAUAUGAGUCCAGGCCCUAUGGGGCGUAGCAGUCGUGAAAACUUCACAAUGGGGGAAACCCCGAUGAGGGAAUUUCAAGUGUCAGCACAUUGUGUUGACUGUUCCCCUGUUUAAAAAACAGGAGAAGUAAGGGCCGGGUAAGAUGGGUGUUAGUUGUUGUGGUAAUACCCGCGGCCCGAGUGGUGGUCGAUAUUAUUGAGUCUAAAACGUUCGUAGCCGGUCUUGUAAAUCCUUGGGUAAAUCGGCCAGUUUAACUGUCCGAAGUCCGGGGAGACUGCAAGACUUGGGAUCGGGAGAGGUCAGAGGUACUUCUAGGGUAGGGGUAAAAUCCUGUAAUCCUAGAAGGACCACCGGUGGUGAAGGUGUCUGACUAGAACGAAUUCGACGGUGAGGAACGAAGCCCUGGGGUGCAAAUGGGAUUAGAUAUCCCGGUAGUCCAGGGUGUAAACGCUGCGGGCUUGGUGUUGGGGGUCCUUUGUGGGCGCCCAGUGCCGGAGAGAAGUUGUUAAGCCUGCUGCUUGGGGAGUACGUCCGUAAGGAUGAAACUUAAAGGAAUUGGCGGGGGAGCACCGCAACGGGAGGAGCGUGCGGUUCAAUUGGAUUUAAUGUUGGACAAUUCACCAGGGACGACGAUUAUAUGAAGGCCAGGUUGAUGACUUUGCCUGAUUUUUCGAGAGGUGGUGCAUGGCCGUCGUCAGUUCGUACCGUAAGGUGUUCUCUUAAGUGAGAUAACGAACCAGACCCUCACCGUUAAUUGCUAGUAUUCUCUUCGGAGGGUGCGCACAUUAACGGGACCGCUGCCGUUAAGACAGAGGAAGGAGAGGUCAACGGUAGGUCCGUAUGCCCCGAAUUUCCUGGGUUACACGCGCGCUACAAAGGUUGGGACAAUGCGUUCCUACAUCGAAAGGUGAUGGUAAUCCCGAAACCCAAUCGUAGUUCGGAUUGAGGGCUGUAAUUUGCCCUCAUGAAGUUGGAUUCCGUAGUAAUCGCUUGUUAAUAUCAAGCGGUGAAUAUGCCCCUGCUCCUUGUAUAUAUUGUCCGUCAAACCACCCGAGUUGGGUUUCAGUAAGGGUGUCUCAUUUUGGGGCAUUCGAACUGAGAUUCAGCAAGGAGGGUUAAGUCGUAAUAAGGUA